CAAAGCGCUCCCUCGAUACUUGUUGCCGGAGAAUGUUUUUACUGCCUACACAAGCAGACGCAUUUCACCUGGUUGGGAUUACAUUCCUUCCCAACUAGCUUUGUGCACGACUUCCUCGCAGUCAUCUGAUACACGCACAUCACAUAUGAAUUUGGAAAUCAGUUCUGUGAACUAAUACAUCGUUAUGGCUCGCAAUGAGCUUUUCUGCAUAAAUCAGCAUCUUUCGUCAGAUCAUCUGCCAUCUCACAGAUUUGGUGAUCCCAUAGAGCUGCCAUGUGACAGGAUCCACAUUCCCACAAUACUGCUGGGACUGCUGCAUGACGUUCCGGGUUCUGUUCCUGUCCUGCUCUCAGGAGAAGUCUGUUUAAGGUUGGAAGCCUGCCCAGGGCCACAGACCUGGGCUUCCUGUGAUAUUCACUCCCUCAAGUUUAUGUAAAUUCUUGUUGAAGCCUUUGAGAUUGAAGCGAACUGUGUGAGAGCUGCUGAAGGAAACCCAACUGCUGAGUGCGAUUCUAAGAAGAUUAUUUAAUCAGUUGACCUCAUGACUGGUUUGUGGACAGGAAACACUCUGUGUAAAACCUCUAUCGUGCUGUUUGUCUUUAUGAGUCCACCUCCCCAGUGAAUUGUAAUGGACAAAUAUAUAGAGCAGAGCAGCUGAGCUUUCUAUAUAUGGAAUUGAAUCAAUACAGCUGUUGAAAGGGCAGCUGGACUGAGCAUACUGUUUAAAUGUACUGUAUACACGUGUGUUUAUACUUAACAUUUCAAGAUUUAACUGAUAUAUUUUUGUUCUGCAAUUGAUCUGUGAUGACUAAG